rnacentral:rRNA from 1 species
AUGAGUUUUUAAAUGGCCGCAGUACCUUGACUGUGCUAAGGUAGCAUAAUCAGUUGGCCUUUAAUUGGGGUCUGGAAUGAAUGGGAUUACGGAAAAAUACUGUCUCCAGGGGGUUUUACUUUAACUUACCUUGAGGGUGAAAAAGCCCUCGAACCGAAAAUAGACGAGAAGACCCUAAGAGUUUUAAUAAAAAAACGGCGGAUCGCCAUUUCGUUUUUGCUGGGGCGGCAACGGAACAGGAAAAACUUCCGAGGGUUUUUUUUGAAAAGUCUUAAUUUAUUAGAACUAAUAAACUACCUUAGGGAUAACAGCAUUAUACUAAAAAAGUGAUUGUGACCUCGAUGUUGGACUAGGGACUCCCUUGGUGAGCAACCAAGGGAAAAAGUUCUGUUCGAACUCU